rnacentral:rRNA from 1 species
UACGGGGGGGGCAAGCGUUGUUCGGAAUUACUGGGCGUAAAGGGCUCGUAGGCGGCCAACUAAGUCGGAUGUGAAAUCCCCAGGCUCAACUUGGGAACUGCAUCCGAUACUGGAUGGCUUGAAUUCGGGAGAGGGAUGCAGAAUUCCAGGUGUAGCGGUGAAAUGCGUAGAUAUCUGGAGGAAUACCGGUGGCGAAGGCGGUUCUCUGGGCAUUACCUGACGCUGAGGAGCGAAAGUGUGGGGAGCGAACAGG